rnacentral:rRNA from 1 species
GACGAACGCUGGCGGCGUGCCUAAUACAUGCAAGUCGAACGCUUCUUUCCUCCCGAGUGCUUGCACUCAAUUGGAAAGAGGAGUGGCGGACGGGUGAGUAACACGUGGGUAACCUACCCAUCAGAGGGGGAUAACACUUGGAAACAGGUGCUAAUACCGCAUAACAGUUUAUGCCGCAUGGCAUAAGAGUGAAAGGCGCUUUCGGGUGUCGUUGAUGGAUGGACCCGCGGUGCAUUAGCUAGUUGGUGAGGUAACGGCUCACCAAGGCCACGAUGCAUAGCCGACCUGAGAGGGUGAUCGGCCACACUGGGAUUGAGACACGGCCCAGACUCCUACGGGAGGCAGCAGUAGGGAAUCUUCGGCAAUGGACGAAAGUCUGACCGAGCAACGCCGCGUGAGUGAAGAAGGUUUUCGGAUCGUAAAACUCUGUUGUUAGAGAAGAACAAGGACGUUAGUAACUGAACGUCCCCUGACGGUAUCUAACCAGAAAGCCACGGCUAACUACGU